rnacentral:rRNA from 1 species
AGAGUUUGAUCCUGGCUCAGGACGAACGCUGGCGGUGUGCUUAACACAUGCAAGUCGAACGGUAAGGCCCUUUCGGGGGUACACGAGUGGCGAACGGGUGAGUAACACGUGAGUAACCUGCCCUCAUCUCUGGGAUAACAGUCGGAAACGGUUGCUAAUACUGGAUAUGAGCUUGCAAGGCAUCUUGUGGGUUGGAAAGAUAUUUUUUGGUUGGGGAUGGACUCGCGGCCUAUCAGCUUGUUGGUGAGGUAGUGGCUCACCAAGGCUUCGACGGGUAGCCGGCCUGAGAGGGCGACCGGCCACAUUGGGACUGAGAUACGGCCCAGACUCCUACGGGAGGCAGCAGUGGGGAAUAUUGCACAAUGGGCGGAAGUCUGAUGCAGCAACGCCGCGUGCGGGAUGACGGCCUUCGGGUUGUAAACCGCUUUCAAUUGUGACGAAGCUUUUUUGUGACGGUAGCAGUAGAAGAAGCACCGGCUAACUACGUGCCAGCAGCCGCGGUGAUACGUAGGGUGCGAGCGUUGUCCGGAUUUAUUGGGCGUAAAGAGCUUGUAGGCGGUUUGUCGCGUCGGGAGUGAAAACUUGGGGCUUAACCCUGAGCUUGCUUUCGAUACGGGCUGACUUGAGGGAGGUAGGGGAGAAUGGAAUUCCUGGUGGAGCGGUGGAAUGCGCAGAUAUCAGGAGGAACACCGGUGGCGAAGGCGGUUCUCUGGACCUUUCCUGACGCUGAGAAGCGAAAGCGUGGGGAGCGAACAGGCUUAGAUACCCUGGUAGUCCACGCCGUAAACGGUGGGUACUAGGUGUGGGGGACAUUCCACGUUCUCCGUGCCGUAGCUAACGCAUUAAGUACCCCGCCUGGGGAGUACGGCCGCAAGGCUAAAACUCAAAGGAAUUGACGGGGCCCCGCACAAGCGGCGGAGCAUGCGGAUUAAUUCGAUGCAACGCGAAGAACCUUA